AGUUCGAUCAUGGCUCAGAUUGAACGCUGGCGGGAUGCUUUGGCACAUGCAAGUCGAACGGCAGCACGGACUUCGGUCUGGUGGCGAGUGGGCGAAACGGGUGAGUAAUGUAUCGGAACGUGCCUAGUAGCGGGGGAUAACUACGCGAAAGCGUAACUAAUACCGCAUACGCCCUUCGGGGGAAAGCGGGGACCUUUCGGGCUCGCACUAUUAGAGUGCGCCGAUAUCGGAUUAGCUAGUUGCGGGUAACGGCUCACCAAGGCGACGAUCCGUAGCUUAUUUGAGAGGACGACCCACACACUGGGACUGAGAUGGCUUAGCCCAGACUCCUACGGGAGGCAGCAGGGAAUUUUGGACAAUGGGGAAACCCUGAUCCAGCCAUCCCGCGUGCGAUGAAGGCCUUCGGGUUGUAAAGCACUUUUGGCAGGAAAGAAACGGCACGGGAUAAUACUCCCGUGCAACUGACGGUACCUUGCAGAAUAAGCACCGGCUAACCACGUGCCAGCAGCCGCGGUAAUACGUAGGGGCAAGCGUUAAUCGGAAUUACCAGUGCAAGCGUGCGCAGGCGGUUCGGAAAGAAAGAUGUGAAAUCCCAGAGCUUUCUAACUUUUGAACUGCAUUUUAACUACCGAGCUAGAGUGUCAGAGGGAGGUGGAAUUCCGCGUGUAGCAGUGAAAUGCGUAGAUAUGCGGAGGAACAUCGAUGGCGAAGGCAGCCUCCUGGGAUAACACUGACGUUUCCUAUGCACGAAAGCGUGGGGAGCAAACAGGAUUAGAUACCCUGGUAGUCCACGCCCUAAACGAUGUCAACUAGCUGCUGGGGCCUUCGGCCUUGGUAGCAGCUGGAAGGCAGGAAGCUGACCGCCUGGGAGUGCUGGUCGCAAGAUUAAAACUCAAAGGAAUUGACGGGGACCCGCACAAGCGGUGGAUGUGGAUUAAUUCGGGAUGCAACGCGAAAAACCUUACCUACCCUUGACAUGUCUGGAAUCCCGAAGAGAUUUGGGAGGUCGCGGAGGCAGAACUGGAACACAGGUGCUGCAUGGCUGUCGUCAGUCGUCGUGAGAUGUUGGGUUAAGUCCCGCAACGAGCGCAACCCUUGUCAUUAGUUGCUACGAAAGGGCACUCUAUCGAGAUCGCCGGGGACAAACCGAGGAAGGUGGGGAUGACGUCAAGUCCUCAUGGCCCUUAGGGCUUCACACGUCAUACAAUGGUCGGGACAGAGGGUCGCCAGCGAGGGGAGCCAAUCCCAGAAACCCGAUCGUAGUCCGGAUCGCAGUCUGCAACUCGACUGCGUGAAGUCGGAAUCGCUAGUAAUCGCGGAUCAGCAUGUCGCAGAAUACGUUCCCGGGUCUUGUACACACCGCCCGUCACACCAUGGGGAGUGGGUUUUACCAGAAGUAGUUAGCCUAACCGUAAGGAGGGCGAUUACCACGGUAGGACUCCAGACUGGGUGAAGUCGUAACAAUAAGGUAG
rnacentral:rRNA from 1 species